rnacentral:rRNA from 1 species
UACGAGGGGAGCGAGCGUUGUUCGGAUUGACUGGGCGUAAAGGGUGCGUAGGCGGUUCUUUAAGUGAGGUGUGAAAGCCCUGGGCUCAACCCAGGAAGUGCAUUUCAUACUGGAGGACUAGAGAUCAGAAGAGGAAACGGGAAUUCCUGGUGUAGAGGUGAAAUUCGUUGAUACCAGGAGGAACACCAAAGGCGAAGGCAGCUUACUGGACGACAACUGACGCUGAGGCACGAAAGCGUGGGUAGCGAAAGGG